rnacentral:rRNA from 1 species
GAUGAACGCUGGCGGCGUGCCUAAUACAUGCAAGUCGAGCGAACGGACGAGAAGCUUGCUUCUCUGAUGUUAGCGGCGGACGGGUGAGUAACACGUGGAUAACCUACCUAUAAGACUGGGAUAACUUCGUGAAACCGGAGCUAAUACCGGAUAAUAUUUUGAACCGCAUGGUUCAAAAGUGAAAGACGGUCUUGCUGUCACUUAUAGAUGGAUCCGCGCUGCAUUAGCUAGUUGGUAAGGUAACGGCUUACCAAGGCAACGAUGCAUAGCCGACCUGAGAGGGUGAUCGGCCACACUGGAACUGAGACACGGUCCAGACUCCUACGGGAGGCAGCAGUAGGGAAUAUUGCGCAAUGGGCGAAAGCCUGACGGAGCAACGCCGCGUGAGUGAUGAAGGUCUUCGGAUCGUAAAACUCUGUUAUUAGGGAAGAACGUAUGUGUAAGUAACUGUGCACAUAUUGACGGUACCCAAUGAGGAAGCAACGGCUAACUACGUG